UUGGAGUUCGAUUAAGCCAUGCCAGUCGAGAGUCUUAGGGACUCGGCGCACCGCUCAGUAACACGUGGGUAACCUGCCCUAUGCUGGGGAAUAACCUCGGGAAACUGAGAAUAAUGCCCCAUAGCCCACUACGCCUGGAACGGUGAGUGGGUCAAAGCUCCGGCGGCAUAGGAUGGGCCUGCGCCGUAUCAGGUUGUAGGGGGUGUAAAGUACCCUCUAGCCAUCAACGCGUACGGGUGUUGGGAGACAUUGCCCGGAGAUGGAUUCUGAGACACGAAUCCAGACCCUACGGGGUGCAGCAGGCGCGAAAACUUGGCAAUGCGAGCAAUCGUGACCAGGGAACUCCAAGUGCGUAGGGUAAGACCUACGCUUUUCUUGACUCUUCAAAGGUCUUGGAAUAAGGGGUGGGUAAGGACGGUGCCAGCCGCCGCGGUAAUACCGGCGCCUCAAGUGGUAGUCGCUUUUAUUGGGCCUAAAACGUCCGUAGCCGGUCUGGUGCAUUCGUGGGUAAAUCAACCCGCUCAACGGGUUGAAUUCUGCGAGCACGGCCAGACUUGGGACCGGGAGAGGUGUGGGGUACUCUCAGGGUAGGGGUAAAAUCCUGUCAUCCUGAGAGGACCACCUGUUGCGAAGGCGCCACACUAGAACGGAUCCGACGGUCAGGGACGAAACCUAGGGGCACGAACCGGAUUAGAUACCCGGGUAGUCCUAGGUGUAAACGCUGUGGACUUGAUGUUGGGGGCGCUCCGAGCGCUUUCAGUGUCGAAGCGAAGGUGAUAAGUCCACUGCCUGGGGAGUACGGUCGCAAGGCUGAAACUUAAAGGAAUUGGCGGGGGAGCACUGCAAC
rnacentral:rRNA from 1 species